rnacentral:rRNA from 1 species
CCUACGGGAGGCUGCAGUGGGGGAUAUUGCACAAUGGGGGGAACCCUGAUGCAGCGACGCCGCGUGGGGGAAGAAGGGCCUCGGGGCGGAAAGCCCUGUCAGCAGGGAAGAAAAAGACGGUACCUGAAGAAGAAGCCCCGGCUAACGACGUGCCAGCAGCCGCGGGAAUACGGAGGGGGCAAGCGUUAUCCGGAUUUACUGGGGGUAAAGGGGGCGGAGCCGGCGCUGCAAGCCAGGAGGGAAAGCCCGGGGCCCAACCCCGGGACUGCUCUUGGAACUGCGUGGCUGGAGUGCAGGAGGGGCAGGCGGACUUCCUGGUGUAGCGGUGACAUGCGUAGAUAUCACGCGGACCUCCGGUGGCGAAGGCGGCCUGCUGGACUGCAACUGCCGUUGAGGCCCGAAAGCGUGGGUAGCAAACAGGAUUAGAUCCCCCUGUAGUC